GAAACUAAACAAGAAACAAAGGACGAAAUAAUUGCGAAGAGAACGAAUGUUCCUCCUAUUGACAAUUGCCUUACGGCCUCGGAAAUAAGUGAGGAUAAAAUCAAUGGAAAAAAACCUGUUUCAAAGGAUGAAACCAUUGAAAGAAAAUCCGUUUCACAUGAUCUAGUUAACAGGAAAAUCGAAUCACUAAAGUUGAAACAAAAAAAGAAAAAAAAAGAUGCUGCUGAUACAAUAAAUGCAACGAAGACAUCACGAAUAGGGACAAAACCAAGUGAGAAGCAAAUUUGUCGUGUUGAUAUUUGUCUCACGACCAACUCGUAAAUAAGCGAUGAAGCCAAUGAAAAAGAGCAGCCUAUUUUGAAAGAAAAUACUGACCUUAUUAAGUCAAAAAACCAAAUAAAAAAAGACUUACAAAAGAAAAAAACGAGGAAAGACGCUGAUGAAAUGCAGUUGAAGAAAAGGAUAAAGAGAAUGAGUCAGUUGCUGCUAAUGCU